AAGUUUUCCUGUGUCUACCCUUCUCAAUGGCAAGGCUGUGCUCACUGAGCCUGUACUUUGUCAAGGUUUUUCUAAGGUGUUGAUCAGUAACCAUUUGGUUUAUUCUGAUUGUUUGGACGUUCUGGUCCUGAGGCUUCAGUGUGUUAGUAGAACAGGUUUGUGAACUCUGCCCCAGGACCAGCUGGAUGAGGGGACUGAGGCUUCAGUGUGUUGGUAGAACAGGUUUGUGAACUCAGCCCCUGGACCAGCUGGAUGAGGGGACUGAGGCUUCAGUGUGUUAGUAGAACAGGUUUGUGAACUCAGCCCCUGGACCAGCUGGAUGAGGGGACUGAGGCUUCAGUGUGUUAGUAGAACAGGUUUGUGAACUCAGCCCCUGGACCAGCUGGAUGAGGGGACUGAGGCUUCAGUGUGUUAGUAGAACAGGUUUGUGAACUCAGCCCCUGGACCAGCUGGAUGAGGGGACUGAGGCUUCAGUGUGUUAGUAGAACAGGUUUGUGAACUCAGCCCCAGGACCAGCUGGAUGAGGGGACUGAGGCUUCAGUGUGUUAGUAGAACAGGUUUGUGAACUCAGCCCCAGGACCAGCUGGAUGAGGGGACUGAGGCUUCAGUGUGUUAGUAGAACAGGUUUGUGAACUCAGCCCCUGGACCAGCUGGAUGAGGGGACUGAGGCUUCAGUGUGUUAGUAGAACAGGUUUGUGAACUCAGCCCCUGGACCAGCUGGAUGAGGGGACUGAGGCUUCAGUGUGUUAGUAGAACAGGUUUGUGAACUCAGCCCCUGGACCAGCUGGAUGAGGGGACUGAGGCUUCAGUGUGUUAGUAGAACAGGUUUGUGAACUCAGCCCCUGGACCAGCUGGAUGAGGGGACUGAGGCUUCAGUGUGUUAGUAGAACAGGUUUGUGAACUCAGCCCCUGGACCAGCUGGAUGAGGGGACUGAGGCUUCAGUGUGUUAGUAGAACAGGUUUGUGAACUCAGCCCCUGGACCAGCUGGAUGAGGGGACUGAGGCUUCAGUGUGUUAGUAGAACAGGUUUGUGAACUCAGCCCCUGGACCAGCUGGAUGAGGGGACUGAGGCUUCAGUGUGUUAGUAGAACAGGUUUGUGAACUCAGCCCCUGGACCAGCUGGAUGAGGGGACUGAGGCUUCAGUGUGUUAGUAGAACAGGUUUGUGAACUCAGCCCCAGGACCAGCUGGAUGAGGGGACUGAGGCUUCAGUGUGUUAGUAGAACAGGUUUGUGAACUCAGCCCCUGGACCAGCUGGAUGAGGGGACUGAGGCUUCAGUGUGUUAGUAGAACAGGUUUGUGAACUCAGCCCCUGGACCAGCUGGAUGAGGGGACUGAGGCUUCAGUGUGUUAGUAGAACAGGUUUGUGAACUCAGCCCCAGGACCAGCUGGAUGAUGUGACUCUUUUCUUUGCUCAGCUCUUGGCAUUGCAGGGCUUGGUAAUGAUAUGAGGGGGUCACUGUAUUUUAGAUGUUUCCAAAACUGAAUUGCUUUUUAAAAAGUUUAUAUUAGUAGUGGAUAUUGGCCUAAUUCUGCCCUGCAUGCAUUGUUUGUAGUUUUCCUCUGGACAUGUAGGAGAAUCUUACAGAACUCUGCAUGCAGGGUUUCAAUGGGGUGUUUGUCCCAUUUGAUGAAAUCUUGUUUUGCAAGUGGACCCCACACCUCGCUGCCAUAAAGUGGACCCCACACCUCGCUGCCAUAAAGUGGACCCCACACCUCGCUGCCAUAAAGUGGACCCCACACCUCGCUGCCAUAAAGUGGACCCCACACCUCGCUGCCAUAAAGUGGACCCCACACCUCGCUGCCAUAAAGUGGACCCCACA